UCGGAUGGGCGGGGCCCAUUCCCUGCGUCAAAAGACGCUUGCACAUUGCCUUCCCACGUGAACUCAGCAGUAACUUUGCAGUGUGUCAACACAAAGUAGUGUGUGUAGUGAAGUGUUUCACUAUAGUUUUUUCGAUGUGUGCGAUGGAAACGACAUUCAAAAUGCGGAUUAUAAAAACAGACAAAAAAGAAGAGACGGUUGGCUAGCUGUGACAUCUAAUAGGGAAGGACGUGCAAAAAAAGUGGAAGAUCAUUAAGGAUUGCUACUACAAAAAUGUGAAAAUGCACGAUGGCAAAAGUGGAGAUUCAUCAAAACCCAGGAAACAUUACAUUUAUCACAAACAGUUGUCAUUUCUCCAAUCUUUAUGUAGAGAAUGAGAUGUGAAGUCAGCUCUAUUGGAGGAGACAGAGUUCUGAUGUUAUUUGGCACUAAGAGAACACAAGAAUACACAAAGGAUAAAGUAAACAGGCAUAUGUACUGCCUUCUAAAUAUUGUUCAAUGUGUUUGUAA